AAUUUCCGGAUUCUACAUUACUAAACUCUAACUAGUUAGUGGCGGACUGGUGAGUAUCGCGUUGGAACCUACCCAGAGUGGGGAAUAAUUCGCCGAAAGGCGGACUAAUACCCCAUGGUAUCCGGCUUGUCCGGAUUAAAGAUUUAUCGCUCUGGGAGGGGCCUGCGUCUGAUUAGCUAGUUGGUGAGGUAAAAGCUCACCAAGGCGACGAUCAGUAGCUGGAUCGAGAGGUUGACCAGCCACACUGGGACUGAGAUACGGCCCAGACUCCUACGGGAGGCAGCAGUAAGGAAUAUUCCACAAUGGGGGGAAACCCCUGAUGGAGCAAUGCCGCGUGCAGGAUGAAGCGUUUCGGCGUGUAAACUGCUUCUAAACGGGAAGAUUAUGACGGUACCGUUAGAAUAAGGACCGGCUAAUUACGUG
rnacentral:rRNA from 1 species